rnacentral:rRNA from 1 species
UACGGGGGGAGCAAGCGUUGUUCGGAAUUACUGGGCGUAAAGCGCGUGUAGGCGGCCCUGCAAGUCGGAUGUGAAAUCCCACGGCUCAACCGUGGAAGUGCAUUCGAAACUGCAGGGCUAGAGUCCUGGAGAGGAAGGUGGAAUGCUUGGUGUAGAGGUGAAAUUCGUAGAUAUCAAGCGGAACACCGGUGGCGAAGGCGGCCUUCUGGACAGUGACUGACGCUGAGACGCGAAAGCGUGGGGAGCAAACAGG